rnacentral:tRNA from 1 species
GCCGGCGUGGCGAAACUGGUUCACGCAGCAGGCCCAAACCCUGUCUCCCGAAUUCGGGAAUGUCGGUUCGAUCCCGACCGCCGGCACCA